rnacentral:lncRNA from 1 species
GGCUGGUGAGGAGAGAAAGAAAGAGGGAUAGGGGUGGAGGCCUGAACUCACAAAGAGAGAGAGAGAGAGAGAGAGAGAGAGGGAGGGGAGAAGGAGAGAGAGAGAGAGAGAGGUUAGAAUUGGACCCAUGAACGAAUAUUACCAUUUUUAAGUAAAUAAGAUGCAUACCGUCCAUCCAAUCGAACCGUAUGAUGCCAAUUAACCAACUUUUUUGAGGCCU